UUUCCGUAGGUGAACCUGCGGAAGGAUCAUUAUUGUAUAACGGAGGUGCGAGGGCUGUCGCUGACCCGACAGGUCGUGCACGCCCGAGUGCCCUCACACACACCCAUCUCACCCCGAUGUGCACCACCGCGUGGGUCCCCCUUUGGCGUGUUCGGGGGGGGGCUUACGUUUUCACACAAUACUUGUAUGCAGUGUAGAAAGUAUUUUUCGUAGUUGCGAUCACGCAAUCAAUACAACUUUCAACAACGGAUCUCUUGGCUCUG
rnacentral:misc_RNA from 1 species